UACGUAGGGUGCAAGCGUUUAAUCGGAAUUACUGGGCGUAAAGCGUGCGCAGGCGGUUUUGUAAGUUUGUCGUGAAAGCCCCGGGCUCAACCUGGGAAUUGCGAUGGAGACUGCAAGGCUUGAAUCUGGCAGAGGGGGGUAGAAUUCCACGUGUAGCAGUGAAAUGCGUAGAGAUGUGGAGGAACACCGAUGGCGAAGGCAGCCCCCUGGGUCAAGAUUGACGCUCAUGCACGAAAGCGUGGGGAGCAAACAGG
rnacentral:rRNA from 1 species